CCACCUCUAGCUGAGGAUCCAUUGAAGCUGACAGUGACCAACCUGGGAGAGGAAGAGUCAAUUUUCUUGAGAGGUGAAUCCCUGAGGCAAAGUCCUGGGAAUUUGUUUUUGAGAUCUGGGACAAGGAUUCAGGACUUGCCUGUGAAGCUCCCCACCCCGACAAUCCUUAAUUAGCAGCCCAUGAUGGAGAACAGCUCACCAGGCUGAGUGGUGGGAGUAGAGCAGCUGCUGAGGAGGACCAGGAAGCUUAAUCAAUGUGGGACACAUGAUCCGCACGGUGGUGGAGCAGCCUGAUGCAUCCCUCUCCAUUGACAUCAUGUCAAUAGCAGAGCUGGUGUUGAACUGUAUACAUAUGGCACUUGAGCUGCAGGCCCCUGGACCCUUAGAAGAGAACACGGACAGAACCCACAGAUUGGCAUCUCUGGCCCUCUGGCCUAUUGGGGUUUAUACUGUGGCUAGAAGUCCAUGUUCCCUUCCCUGCCACCAAAGUGACCAACUUCUGGAUGGGAGGCUUGGAGCCACAUAUAUCCCUUUCUGCAGAUGGGAGGAAGAAGAGGAGCAUCAUCGGGACAUGGCAGCAGCAAGAGACACACACAGCCAACUACAGGGCCCAGAAGAGAGGCACACCUACCACCUUUAGUCUGAGGAAUGUUGAUCUGUGUCCCUUUUUCUUGACUCAUUGCUUUGGAUACACUUUCAGCCAAAGGACAAGUCAGAAUGCUGACCAGAGGCC
rnacentral:lncRNA from 1 species